GGUGAUCUUGCUCGUGUGAUGG
rnacentral:siRNA from 1 species